rnacentral:rRNA from 1 species
UACGGGGGGGGGCAAGCGUUGUUCGGAUUUACUGGGCGUAAAGGGCGCGUAGGCGGUCGUGACAAGUCACUUGUGAAAUCUCCGGGCUUAACUCGGAACGGUCAAGUGAUACUGUCGGACUAGAGUACAGAAGGGGCAACUGGAAUUCUCGGUGUAGCGGUGAAAUGCGUAGAUAUCGAGAGGAACACCUGCGGCGAAGGCGGGUUGCUGGGCUGAUACUGACGCUGAGGCGCGAAAGCUAGGGGAGCGAACGGG